rnacentral:rRNA from 1 species
UACGUAGGGGGCAAGCGUUGUCCGGAAUCAUUGGGCGUAAAGAGCGCGUAGGCGGCCCUGUAAGUCCGCUGUGAAAGUCAAGGGCUCAACCCUUGAAUGCCGGUGGAUACUGUCGAGCUCGAGUCCGGAAGAGGCGAGUGGAAUUCCUGGUGUAGCGGUGAAAUGCGCAGAUAUCAGGAGGAACACCGGUGGCGAAGGCGGGUCUCUGGGCCGAUACUGACGCUGAGGAGCGAAAGCGUGGGGAGCGAGCAGG